AGAGAGAGACAUGCGCGCAUAUCAAUAAGCGGAGGAAAAGAAACUAACAAGGAUUCCCUUAGUAACGGCGAGUGAAGCGGGAAGAGCUCAAAUUUGAAAUCUUCAAGGUUUUACCUUGACGAAUUGUAGUUUAAAGAAGUGUUUUCUGCUGAAGUUUUGGUAAAAGUUCUUUGGAAUAGGACAUCAUAGAGGGUGAGAAUCCCGUAUUUGACCAUUAUUUUCAGCUUUGUGAUACACUUUCAAAGAGUCGGAUUGUUUGGGAAUGCAGUCCAAAAUGGGUGGUAAAUUUCAUCUAAAGCUAAAUAUUGGCGAGAGACCGAUAGCGAACAAGUACCGUGAGGGAAAGAUGAAAAGAACUUUGAAAAGAGAGUUAAACAGUACGUGAAAUUGUCAAAAGGGAAGCGUUUGACACCAGUGUUGUUUUCUCGAAAAUCAAUUAAAAAUGGCUCGAUUUUGUAUUGUUGAGACCUUAAAAGCUCACUGUACAUUUUUCGUGUCUUUUUUAAUGCACUUUUCGUUUAACAAGUCAACAUCAGUUUCUUUUGUUGUAAAAGGGUCAUUGGAAGGUGGCUUUCUUUUCGGAGAAAGUGUUUAUAGCCUUUGGCCUCUGCAAUCGGAAGAGACUGAGGUCUGCAGCGUAGACUCUUCGGGGUUAGAUACAUUUGUGCUAAGCUAUAGCUUUUUAUAGACAACUUGUUGACUAUAAUUAGUCUUGUAGCUUACUCGCUUAUGCUAUUUUACCUACGCUUAGGAUGUUGAAGAUGUAGCACAUCAU
rnacentral:rRNA from 1 species